CCGAGUUUACAACUCCCAAACCCAAUGUGAACGUUACCAAACUGUUGCCUCGGCGGGAUCUCUGCCCCGGGUGCGUCGCAGCCCCGGACCAAGGCGCCCGCCGGAGGACCAACCAAAACUCUUAUUGUAUACCCCCUCGCGGGUUUUUUACUAUCUGAGCCAUCUCGGCGCCCCUCGUGGGCGUUUCGAAAAUGAAUCAAAACUUUCAACAACGGAUCUCUUGGUUCUGGCAUCGAUGAAGAACGCAGCGAAAUGCGAUAAGUAAUGUGAAUUGCAGAAUUCAGUGAAUCAUCGAAUCUUUGAACGCACAUUGCGCCCGCCAGUAUUCUGGCGGGCAUGCCUGUCCGAGCGUCAUUUCAACCCUCGAACCCCUCCGGGGGGUCGGCGUUGGGGAUCGGCCCUUUACGGGGCCGGCCCCGAAAUACAGUGGCGGUCUCGCCGCAGCCUCUCCUGCGCAGUAGUUUGCACACUCGCAUCGGGAGCGCGGCGCGUCCACAGCCGUUAAACACCCCAAACUUCUGAAAUGUUGACCUCGGAUCAGGUAGGAAUACCCGCUGAACUUAAGCAUAUCU
rnacentral:rRNA from 1 species